UCCAGUGUCUGUGGUUGCCACCACAGCGGCCGGCUGUGAGGCCCCAUGGUACAAGUGCUGCUGAGGAAUGAGUCUUUAAACAACCAGUGGCAACAGAGCCUGAGCCCUUUAAGGUCAGAACAUUAUUGCUUUUACCGUUGGAAGUUUAAAUCUUCAGGGGGAAAUGAAGGCAGAAUAUCCAAGACUCUGUGGACCUCUAUUGUCAGCUUCAACAUUUGCCAACCAAAGUAAUUCAACCCCAAAUCUCUGCUUCCUGCCAUCGUGGCCAUAAAAAAGCAGUGCUCAAGGAAUGUUUACAGCUAAGGAGGCUCCAUGGAGGAUUGCUUGAAGGACAUGAAGUCCAUCCAUCUCUCCAGAUAGUUUAGGUUAUAUCUCAUGAUCAAGGUAAACCAUCCAAACUAAAUACUUGAACCAUAUUGUUUUGGCGUCUUUUACUUUUACUCACUUUUACUGAAUUGCAUUUUGGCAUUGCAUGGAGGGACCCAGCAAGAAGAUAGCCAUCAGCCUGUCAGCGUUAUUGGCAUCAUGGGGGAUGUUGAGAAAGGCACUCGCCUCUGAACCAUUCAUGUUCCACUCCUGAGGGCACAGUGAGAUGUUCCCCUUAGACCCAAAUGCCAGGAAACAAUUGGUUUUCCGUGAGUAAUAACAAUGUGUUUAUGUGUUUACCUGGCAUAAAGCUAAGGGUGGCCCCGAGCAUGGUCUUGAAAUUAGAAUGCUGGGGUUCAAACCCAGCACCAUUACCUGUUAUCUGGUCGACCUUAAGCCUCUUAACUUCUCUGUGCCUCAAUUUUCUCAUCUGUAAAGUAAUGAAAAUAACUGUACCUACCUCAAAGGCUGCAGUGAGAAUUGAAUGAGACAGACUAUGUAAAAGUUUUUAGCACUGUGUCUGGCAAAUCGUUAAGUUCUCAAUAAAUAUUAGCC